rnacentral:rRNA from 1 species
GAUGAACGCUAGCGGCAGGCCUAAUACAUGCAAGUCGAACGAUACUUUCCAGCUUGCUGGAGAGGAAAGUGGCGCACGGGUGCGUAACGCGUAUGCAACCUACCUUAAUCAGGGGGAUAGCCCGAAGAAAUUCGGAUUAACACCGCAUAAAAUCACAGUAUAGCAUUAUACAAUGAUCAAAUAUUUAUAGGAUUAAGAUGGGCAUGCGUGACAUUAGUUAGUUGGCGGGGUAACGGACCACCAAGACCACGAUGUCUAGGGGAUCUGAGAGUAUGACCCCCCACACUUGUACUGGGACACGGACCAGACUCCUACGGGAGUCAGCAGUAAGGAAUAUUGGUCAAAGGAGGCAACGCUGAACCAGCCAUGCCGCGUGCAGGAAGACAGCCCUCUGGGUCGUAAACUGCUUUUAUUCGGGAAUAAACCUAUCUACGUGUAGAUAGCUGAAUGUACCGAAUGAAUAAGGAUCGGCUAACUCCGUGCCAGCCGCCGCGGUAA